rnacentral:rRNA from 1 species
UACGUAGGGUGCGAGCGUUAAUCGGAUUUACUGGGCGUAAAGCGUGCGUAGGCGGUCCCCCAAGUCCGCUGUGAAAGCCCCGGGCUUAACCUGGGAAUGGCAGUGGAAACUAGGGGACUGGAAUCUGGCAGAGGGGGUGGAAUGCCGCGUGUAGCAGUGAAAUGCGUAGGAGAUGCGGCGGAACACCGAUGGCGAAGGCAGCCCCUGGGCUGAGAUUGACGCUCAGGCACGAAAGCGUGGGGAGCAAACAGG